ACAACUGAAAUCAACAUGCUAUUUUAUUGGCUCCCAAAAACAAAUAGAUGCUCGUAUGAUAUGACGAAAGCAGCCUUUUAAUAAUCAAUGUUUACAUUGCUUGCUUUUUCUAAAUUAGAUAAUGAAAUUGUGUUCAUGCAAUAUGUAUUAUGGCUUAAAGAUAUAAAGAAAAACACAUUAGAACAACAUAUCAGCAACUGAAGAUUAAAAUUAAAAAUUUCUAACACCCCCACAUGAUAUACAGCAUAAUUGCAGUGAUGCCAUCCUGAAAUUAACUAUUGUCUCAAUUUGCUUUACAUACCAUUUCAUUAAUGGUAAAAACUAAAUCUGCAUGUAUACAUCUGUUCGGAUUUCUAUAAUACAAAAAUGUAUAAAUCAUCAAGAGAAGAUGCUAUGAAUUCAUAAUCCAAAUGUAUGACAUUGUAAUCAAGAACAUGCAUCCAAUUCCAAAAAAUUCACAAAAAGAAUAAUCAAUCAACUUGCAACAUAUAAAAGCAAUAU
rnacentral:lncRNA from 1 species